GUUUUUUCCUAUCGCUCGCCUCUGCCCUUCAAAAUUUAUCAGCUUCCUUUGCCCUUCAUUUUUUCAGGUAUUUUCAAGCCUUUCAGUCCUCUACUUUUUUACGUAUUUCGAAAUUGAUUGUGGCGCGCCAAAGCUCAAGAGGCGGCUGUGUCGCUCGCUGGGGUUGUGAGUGGGUUUUGAUCUGAAUGCGUCUUUGUGAUUCAACCCUAAUUUUGUGUUUCGUUGAUUGUUUGAUUCAGCGGCGACGAUUUUUUAUUUUUGAUUUUUUUAAUUUAAGGCGAAAUUUUGGUUUUGGAAUGAGGGUUUUUUUGGGGGGAUUGGAUGUGAUUUCUGCUAUCUCCGUGUUUUGUUUAACGUUGUGUGAUUGGUUUGGAUUUUGGUACACGCCUACACGGUGAAUUUGUAACUUAAUUGAAUUGUUUCUUCUGUUGAAUGAUGAAUGCUUAUUGUCGUUGAUUUUGGGGAUCCGUUUUUUUUUUCUUUAAUUUUACACUAUUACUAUUUGUAUAUAGAGUAUCGUAAAUUGUUAUGAUUCUUGAUUACCAGCAAGUCGUGGUGAAGGCGGAGAAAGCUGCAAACGAUUCUAAUUAAGAUAAGUUAGUGAAACGGAUGGUGAAUCAGGAUCAGUUAAUUGGUGCAAAACGAGCAAUACAAUUAGUUCAGGAUGGGCAUUUCAGUCUUGAUCACAAUCAUAUCUCUGUGAGUGGACAAAGUUCUGCCAUGAAAACAUCUGAAUCGAACCACAGUUCGUAUCUGGACUUGAGGCAAGAAGAUGAGGAUGAUAUAGGCUCCGGACAAGGCAUUAGUUGUAGCCAUUUUCAGGCUCCAGGUAUUGACCCAGGUAUGGCUCGUUCACAUGCUCAAGAUGUUGAAUAUCACAAUGAGUAUGAUCAAGGCAGUGAGGAUGAGAGUAAGUAUGGCGUUGUAGACCAGAAGUUUUUAAAUCUUGACAGUGGAGAAGCAAGAAUUCAUCAAGAGGAUGGUGCCUCAGGAAAUCUUGACAGCCAAUUGACCCUUACAAUUCCAGGCGACGAAUUGGCCUUUUCAGGCAAUAAUGAUUUUACCAUUAUGGAAACUAGUGACGUAGGUGGUGAGCUGAUGAUCCACCCGGAUUCUGAAAUGGGCGCCAUGUCUGCACCCCAUCUUUCGAUAUCCCAACCUGAGUAUGGGAUGGCAUAUCCUAUUGUUCAAUCCCGAAUGAUGGUUCCUGCACCAAUGCAAGAAUUGACUGUUGGACAGGAAUUUCCUGAUGUUAAGAGCUGUCGCAGGGCAUUGAGGGACAUGGCAAUUGCGAUGCACUUUGAGAUCCAGACAGUCAAGUCCGACAAGAUGCGUUUCACUGCCAAAUGCGCCAGUGAAGGAUGCCCGUGGCGUGUUCAUGCAGCUAAGCUUCCUGGCGUUCCUACUUUCACCAUUAGGACUAUUCAUUCGGAGCAUACCUGUGGUGGUAUAGAUCAUUUAGGUCACCAACAAGCUUCCGUACAGUGGGUGGCUAGCUCAGUAGAGCAACGCCUCAGGGAAAACCCACACUGCAAGCCGAAAGAGAUACUGGAGGAGAUACAUCGCGAAUAUGGUAUCACUUUGUCAUACAAGCAAGCUUGGAGAGGGAAGGAGAGGUUCAUGGCUUCACUGCGAGGUUCGUUUGAAGAGGAUUAUCGUCUUUUGCCACAAUAUUGCAACCAAAUCAGACGGACAAAUCCAGGAAGUUUGGCCUCAGUUUGUGUAAAUCCUGUGGAUAACAGCUUCCAACGCCUCUUUAUUUCUUACCAAGCUUCGAUAUACGGGUUUCUGAAUGGUUGCCUGCCACUCAUCGGGCUUGAUAGAACUGUGUUGAAAAAUAAGUAUAUUGGAACGGUGCUUUUUGCCUCCGGAUUUGACGGGGAUGGGGCUCUCUUUCCAUUAGCAUUUGGCAUUGUGGAAGAAGAGAAUGAUGAAACCUGGAUGUGGUUUCUCUCAGAGCUGCACAAUCUUCUUGAUACAAACGCAGAGAACAUGCCGAGGCUUACAAUCCUAUCGAAUAGGCUGAAGAGCAUUGUCGACGCUGUAGAAGUGAACUUUCCUACUGCUUUUCACGGGUUUUGCUUGCUUCACCUCACUGAGAGUUUCCGGAAGGAGUUUAACAAUAAUCUUCUUGUCAGCCUUCUCUGGGAAGCUGCUAAUGCUCUGACUGUGAUAGCUUUCGAAACAAAAUUAACAGAGAUAGGAAAUAUAUCUCAAGAUGCAGGCUAUUGGGUGCGAGAAAUCCCACCUUCUCUGUGGGCGACUGCACACUUCGCGGGGACCCGAUUCAGGAAUACGACCUCCAACAUUGCAGAGUCUCUCAAAGCUUGGAUCGUUGAAGCUUCCGGGCUGCCCAUAGUUCUGAUGAUGGAGUCCCUACGACGCCAUCUGAUGACAUGGUUCAAUGAACGUCGGGAAGCCAGCAUGCAGUGGACAUCCGUAUUGGUUCCAUCUGCGGAAGGGCCAGUUUCUGAGGCUAUUGAGAACGCACAAACUUACCAGGUUCUUCGGGCAGACGAAGCUGAGUUUGAAGUCGUAACCCAUGACGGAACCCUCGUUGUGGAUAUCAGAAACCGUUGUUGCGCGUGCCGGAGCUGGCAGAUAUACGGGCUUCCUUGUUCUCAUGCUGUGGCGGCUCUCCUCUCUUGCAGACAGAAUGUGCAUCGAUUCGCCGAGAGCUGCUUCACGGUUGCUAGUUACCGGAAGACUUACUCACAGACAAUUCACCCGAUUCCCGAUAGAACGCUGUGGCAGGAGACGGCGGGGGGGCAUGAAAAUGAAGAGGAGAUUGUUGUGAACCCACCUAAGUCUCUCCGACCACCGGCGCAGGCGCGGAAACGACGAACAACGCACACGGGAGAUCGAAGCCAGGUAAAGAGAGUGGUGCACUGUAGCAGAUGCUACCAGACUGGACAUUUUAGAACGACGUGUGCCACGCCUAUAUAGAGCUCUGGCAGGCAUUGUCUUGAUAUUUUUGGGAUUAUCGGAUAUAUAUAUGUGUGUGUGUGUGUGUGUGUGAUGCUUGGAAGUCUGUGUGAGUAUUAUUUGAUCACAUUUGUGCUUCUUUUUGGGUGUUUGAGUUUGAUUUCAUUGGUUUUGUUUUGGGCACAACAAGAACAAGUGACUUGAAAAGAAAGAUUCUUGAGCCAUUGAAUUGGAAUGAAUGAAUUAUUACAGGGAUUAAAUUACAGAGGUGGGCACGUGUGCACGAACCACAUCAAAUCAAAAGUUAGCCGAUUGUGUUAUUCUAGUAUUUUCAGCAUUCUUGAUUGUCUGUCUGAAUAAAUAAAAUGGAAGUAGAGAUGUAGAUCAGAAACAGAUGUAUAAAGUCGUAAACUGACUCUCUGCUUUAAA